UACGAAGGGGGCUAGCGUUGCUCGGAAUCACUGGGCGUAAAGCGCACGUAGGCGGAUCCUUAAGUCGGGGGUGAAAUCCUGGAGCUCAACUCCAGAACUGCCUUCGAUACUGAGGAUCUCGAGUCCGGGAGAGGUGAGUGGAACUGCGAGUGUAGAGGUGAAAUUCGUAGAUAUUCGCAAGAACACCAGUGGCGAAGGCGGCUCACUGGCCCGGUACUGACGCUGAGGUGCGAAAGCGUGGGGAGCA
rnacentral:rRNA from 1 species